rnacentral:lncRNA from 1 species
CUAUACCUGCUUGAAAGUAAGCUAACACAUUAUCCCUUCCCCAAAGCCCUUAAAGUCUAAGAGAAUAUAAGAUUGGCACCCAGCUUUCGAAACGGCUGCUACUUAUUACUUUACUGCCUAAACUCAGUUGCUUGUUUAGUUCUAGAAAUAAAUGAGUAUUCUAGGAGUAGGAGCAAACAGGUCUAUGGUUAUGAGGCAUCAAUGCACUAUAAGAGCCGAUAGAUAGCAACAUAGGGGCGAUUCUUAUCCAUUCAAUAUGUUUACUAUGGCUUAGACGACGAGAAAGAGGCCUCAACCACCUUUUGAAGCUUCAGUAUUGGGUGCUAGUGUUGUGGUGUUGUAAGAAUCCGAGUCUAUUCCUGUUUUACUUUCAUCCCGAGUUUCAUCCUUCCGUAUUGGGUGCUAGUGUUUCGGUAAGUGAAUUGCCUGAUGGUUUACUAAUAUCUAUCUUGCUUGGUGGGGGCGCUAUUAAAUGAAUACUCUUUCUUUGCACUCCUGGGCAUUUGCAUUUUCUCUUUCGUAUCUUGCCACGAGCAUUGGCAACAGGAUAAGAAGCUUUUCAAAGAGAAUACGCAUAAGCAAGAGAAGGAUUAGAACAAGGAUCAGCAGCAGUGCCAAAGUCCGCUGUUCGCCCUAGAGUAAUACGUGAUGAGUCUGUACAUAAAUCUAUAACAAGUGUGACUUCUGGAAAGCUCCUUGUUCGAAAGCUCCUUGUUUACUAUGAUAUAAGGGAAACAACACGAGUUUAUGGCUUAGAGGCAGUAACUCCGUAAGCUUAGAGUCCACCUGUCUUUUCUUUUAGUCAUUCAGAUCUGAUUGUAGGAAAAGAAGUACUUUCUUCGUUGGGAGCUGCAGCUUCUGAUCUUUAUUCAACAGCACUUAGUCUUCUUUUCUUGCGCCUUCUGCGUAAAAGCAGUACACUUAGCGGUAACAAAACACUCUCACUUUCAAAGAAUGGAAUUGAGAAAGGGUGAAUUGAAUAUAAGAUUCACUAGCUUACAAGGGCUGCUACUUACUGCCUACAGCCCGGCGCACAAAGGGAACAAGUCGUUGCUUGAAGUGAAGAGAGCUACCCUGCCUUAUAUAGAUCUAUGGAGCGGGUAACAAAUAACUCUAAACACGUUAGGUUAGCACUUAGGAACAAUACAAGCAAAACAAAGGCUUUCAACAAAGGCUAGUGGUCCGAAAUAGGCGUAAGCCGGUACAGCUUCGUUAGCACUAGGGAACAAGUCAUAUUCUUGGCGUCAAAGCAUUAUCAGAGCAUUUCGGGACGGGAGGCAAGAUGACCGAUUCCUUUUGGAAUAUUAGUUUCCCACGCGACGAAAAAUAGGAUUGAUUGUCUUUACCUUGACCUUGAUUACGGUCUUCCUUAGUGACCUGCUGCUAUUCCUUGAAGGACAUUCCGCUGCUGACUUCCUUGAUCUACUUGUUUCUCUUGGCUUGGCGACUUACCCUGACUUGAAACAGCGGAUUCUGUUUAUACUGCUUUUCUCGUGUCGAUGUCUACUUUCCUUCCGCAUAUCCUACUGCUCCAACAGAUGAUUCGACUCCAACUCGCUUGACCACCUGAGCUUUAGGUUGACUAUCUGGGGCCUCACUUCAGACUCUAACCUCUCUCUGGUCUAUGGCAAAGUGCGUGUUCACUUAUGGAUGUUCACAAAUCUGAUGUUAUAGAAGAGGAUGUGCAGAUGAAUCAAUGGUUAAGGCAGAUGAAUCAAUAGUUAAGAAAGAAUAGGUUGUUAUAGAUAAAGAGGAUAAAGGAUGGUGCACGAAGAAAUGCAUAGUGAAAGUAAGCCUUGGUCUUGCUUGGGGUAAUAUCAUCUUUCCUUUCCUUCCCCUAGGUCCUAGGUUGAAAGUUAGCUGCUCACUCUAUCCUUCUUAUUAUUCGAUGUCUUAAGCUGCAUGUAGCAAAGAGAGAUUGAAGAUUCCAUGUAGUCCCUGAAAAACAGAAGUUAGAGUAGAACGAAAAACUUGGAGUUCCUGUGGUCCGUCCUACUCCAUAUAAUGGAAUAAUAAGGUAUCCUAUUUUUGGAUAGAUAGUAGCCAUGUCUGUAAGAUCUGUCUAUCAAUCAGUCUGUCUGUAAAGUGCUUGCUCCUUGAUGGCUCCAUCUCGGUUGAUUCAAAGUGUUUAGUGAAAAGAUAUGCCCUUGUAAUCUCCAGAUCGGGAUCGGUACACAAUCUUGGUACAGGUGUCUGAGGGGCAACUAAUAAGUCUAUACUUUACCGAGUCGAAAGAGCAGGAAAAGACUCAAUGAAUAGAAUAUCUCUAUAGUUAGUACUCAGUGGUAUAGGGAAGUCGAGAAUAAAGUGGAUAAGGGCGAAUUCCUUACUGUAAGGGUCAAGGUAAAUAAUGGAAUGAAAUAACCUAUUGCCCACGGAACUCCCGAAAACUUGACGGAUUGUUCAGUGCGGUUGAAAGGUGAAGUAGGCUUAGGCUCCUUGUCCACGAGUUCGCGCGGUAGGCUUAUUGUUGCUGGGUGCUUACGCGAGUUCUUUAUUAGUGCUCGAAGUGUACUUGAAUACUUGUUCCAGACGACCAUACCUUGCUUGAAGAAGAGAAUGAAAAUCAGUAACCUUUGCGCUUUUAAGAAGAAUAAUGAAAAUCCAUAGAUAAGUUCAUUGAAUACAUACGAUAGAGAAGAGUAAAAACACUGCUUACUAGAGGAGAAGAGAAUAUUGGGGAACACCCACUAAAUAGAGAAUGGAGUCAAAACCGGAGAAACUCACAUUAGCUAUAGUCUGGCGAAAGAAAAGAACAAGCUGUAAGAGAUGUUAUGACUAUUUGAUAUUAUGUGCGCAUUCAAUUCCAUUCUGUAGUUAGGAACACGCAUCGCCUUGUUUCAUUGAAUCUCACUGUCAUAGUAGAUAAUGUAUUAUUUGAUCUCUCGAAAGUUAUAUCAUAAGUGUUGCGGAACGAAACUCCUUUCCUUAAUCACUGCUUAUCCUAAAAAAUGCAGAAUAUCGGCAUUGCAUAAGAGAAUGUGAGGCACCAGCAUCUUUGACUUGUGCUUAUUGACCCGAACCCUAUACACAUGAGGACAGAGGCAGAGUCACCCCGGAAAGCGGACGUAAGCCAUCGCGGGUUCUAUAAACCCCAAUAAGCUUGUUCUAUAAACUCCAAUAAGCGUUAGCGCAACUAUCCACUCACUAACAAGAUAAGUAUCAUUGAACUCCAGAGUGUGUUUGCUUGUUUCAGUCACUAGCCCCAAACCAAUUCCAUUCAAUCUAGUGCUAAACUAAUAGAAUAGCGUAACCAGGCUGCUUUGCUUAUUCAAAAGAAGGAAGAGAAUGGAGGCUAAAGAAUAGACAGACUUUAGGUGGAGCGCUGUUCAAAAGUUGAUACUUGUUCCCCUGCUUUAAGAAUAGAGAGAAUUCAGAAGUUGUGGGGCAUAAUGAAUUUCCAAUAUAGUGGUUGACUAAACGGAAUCGAAUGGAGCUAUCCAACGACUAUGGAUUUAGCAAGUAAACAAGCAAUGGGCGCAGAGCAAAGGCCUAUUAUUCUAUUCCUUAGAAAAAGGGGUGCGGAGUUAAUAAGUGUCGGUGUUAUCGGGUGUCUACUUGGAUUCUCUUCUAUCAGAGAUGAACUACAGCCAACUUUCCGUCUUCGUGCCGUGCACUCAAUUAGUUAAGUAGUCGAUGAAAAAACUUGUGCACUCAAUUCAGUAAAGUAAUUCGGGGUGCGGGGUGCUUAUUCGUCAGGGGUGCCGAUAUCAAUAAAAUAUUCUAGGGAAGAGUUCGCCCUUGUGUGCGCAUAGGUUGGUGCUUAUAGAAGUUGUAAGUGAGAUUCCAGAGUUUAGGGUUACAAGCAAAUCUACAAGUGAUAGAUAACCAGAAGCAGUUUCUGAAGAAGCAGACAGAUAUUAAUCAGGAGAAGAAUACAGAUCACCAUCAAGGGAACCAGCAAUCGAAGCGCGGGAUUUGGAUCAAAUUAAGCAGGAUAAGAAGCCGUUAGAGCGGGGGAGCCAUAUAGGUCUUUUUUUCCUUUAUUUGAGUUUGAGUAAGCAGUGUUCGGUGUUGGGCAAUAAACAAAUCAUUCAAUGUAAACAACUCGAUCUUCGCAUGGUCGAAAUGCAAGAGCAGCAGUCACUACAACUAAAUGACUCUUCCAAGGACGGUUGUGAUUGAAAGAGCAGAUGACUCAAAAGCAAGAAAUCAGAGAAGAGGCGUCUUCGAGUUUGGAUUGCCAUAACUGAAUCCUCUAGAAGGAUAUAUUAAUGUUAAAGUCAAAGAAAGGUAACUGGACUGAGAUUCUCUUCCAUAGUGAGUAAAGAUCAUACCGAACCUCUUCUAUGUACCUCAAUAAGAAUCCUCCCUCUCGUGAGCUCGUCCCUUCAGUAACUACGAUUUCCUCUGUUCUGUUGUUCAAGGAAAUAAUCUCGUAUCUUCUGGGGUCUUUCAUAAUAGAGUAGAUCAUCCAUGUAUGUAUCCAUAUGCAUAAAUCUUCCGAUCUCUUAUCUUGGUAAUUCAUUCGUACCUAGUUAUUCCUCUGUCAAUAGGACUUAUCUAAUGGAUGCCCAAUCCCCAUAGGAUGAAUAAGAAAAAGGAGGAAUUAAUCCGACCGAGUAUAGGCUUGCGUCUGAUUAGCUAGUUGGUGAGGAGGCAAUAGCUUAGCAAGGCGAUGAUCAGUGACAGGUCUUUUUCGGAUGAUCAGCCAAACUACACUGACUGGGACUGAGACAGGGCCCAUACUCAGGAGGGAGGCAGCAGUUUCGAAUUUGGAUAACAGGGUGAAAGCACUCUUACGACACUGAGACUGAUAGCCGUGGGUGGAGCGAAUGGGAACUUCGAGCGGUGGAGCGAAUGGGAUUAGAUAGCCCGCCCAGUAGUCCUAGCCGUAAACGAUAGAUACUAGGCGCUGUACAUAUCGACCCGACCCGUGCUGUAGCUAACGCCUUAAGUAUCCCGCCUGGGGCGCUGAAAAAGGAAUUGGAUAGGGGGGGCCAAGAUCCAAGAGUAGGUAAUAAUCAAAAAGAGGUUAAUCAUACUGAAAGAAGUAAGUAACAGAGGUUAUAAUACUGAAAGAAGUCACAGAGUAGGUAAUACUGAAAGAAAUCACACCUCCAUCAACUGAAAGAAGUCACAGAGUAGGUAAUACUGAAAGAAGUCAAACCUCCAUACUGAAGUAAGUCACACCUCCAUCAACUGAAGUAAGUCACACCUCUAUAAGUCUACCGGCCUUUAGCUAGUACUUGCUUUCCAGAGUGCUCUUUUUCUCUCCUUCAGACUUGGAUAAGUAGGGAAAUGAGUGAAGUCGUGAUAUCCUUAGGUGUGCAUUGACUGACUCUCUUGCUUUCUAUCUAGUGGUUCACCUCCUUUCUUUUUCUCUAGCUCUAGUAGGUACCGUAGCGGACUUACGCUCUAGUAAGCUAGUCAGUAAGUUAUCUGCUCUAGUAAGCUAGUCAGUAAGUUAUCUGCUUUCUGUUCUGUCUAUUCGCGGCUAAAGUCAGUGGUUUAGUUAGUUGCUUUUUGUGCUUUCUUUCUUCCCCUGCCGUGAGUAAGAGAUCUACUUUUUGUCAGGAAUCUAGUUUCAAGUAGCCUUUCUAGUUUAGGAGUGACGAAGAAUAAAAGGCUGCCAAGACACGCGAAGACAUCGAAAGUAAGAUAACAAACAAAACACUUUAUGAGAGUUGAUUAUGAUAGUUGCCCAAUAACUCCUGGGUCAAGUAACAGGCCCAAAAGAGGAAGUUCUGCCAGUAGAAUACCGAUCCCGAGUUUCAUCUUAUUUAUAUUAUAUGGAAGUAGACCUCGAGCAACAAAUGAUUGUACUGCUGGCUACUCUCCACUGGCAGCUGUCAACUAAUUCUGUAAAGACUACUUUCCAGAGAGGAAGAGUCGAGUUCACCUGAGUUAGGUUAAAGGAAAGUCUCUUAUUGUUGGCGACGAGCGGUGCUAUACGCUAUACUUUACUGCUCUGAAAGGUCGUAAUUAAUUCUUUCAGUUGAUUUCCUCUCCUAUUGGCCGAGUAAUUCAUAGUGUGUGUAUGUGUCAAUUGAGCAAGUCCCUUCUUCGUAGUCGUUGGGAGAAAGAUCUCCACGGUAAGAUGAGAUAGAAGAUUUUCGUAAGUUAUAUCCGGGGGGUCCACUAGUAUAGUUUUGGAAAGCAGGUUUAGGAAAGGCAGUUCUUAGUAAUCAAAGUAACGAAAGUCAUCUUUUUCUUGUAUUCUUAUCUCGUGGUGUAUCUUUAAAGCCUGGCCAAGUAACGGAUAGACGCCAAGGCACUUGUGCCGCGGCAGUGUUGUUUUUGCUACUAACGACCGAGUUUCACCCCUGAGCGCUAAUCCAUCAAGAUCGUAGCUAAGAGAGAUGCUCCCCGGCUAUCCACUUCUCAUAGUAAUAAAGCUCGGUCGGACUGAGACUGAGGGACAUCGAGUUGCCUAAAGGCUGCGUGCCCUCCUCGACUGCGAGACCUACGAUCAGAAAUAAUAUAAGGUUACUAAAUGCUGGAAGUUCCCUUCUUUCAUAACCGGGGGCUGCCAACUCCGCUUAGCCUUUUCACUCAGUUGCCAUUAGUUUAGAUGAAGCUACUUCGGAAUUCAAUCGAAUGGGAACCCUCCCCUAAACAGUUUCUAUGGCUCCUCUCUUCGAGUAGCAUUGACCUUUUCUCGCUAAUAAAUGAGAUAAGGUUCUUUUUCUUAGAUAAGGUUCUUUGGAAAUCAUACAGUCUAUUCGUUCUCUCUUCCUCUUACCUAACUCCCCGAGGGUCGAGUUGCUUUCUUUCUGCUCCAAAGCUUCCUUUCAAUAGGAAAGAGAUAGGAAGACGACGACUCCUAGGACCUAGUAGUUCAAAGGUAUUCUAUACAAGUUUGAAAAUGACCCUGGCACAUCUUCUUUCCUAAAUCAAAUCAAAAGAACUGUUUUCUGGGCCCGUAACAAUGACAAGUAGUCGUGAGUAGUAUGCUUUUAGUUAAUAAAAGAGAAUAAAGGGCUCCUCUGUCUAAUCCCGUAUCUGAUUCAAUGGGAGCUCCUCUUCCUAUUCAAAAGAGAAUAAAGGGUUCCUCUGUCUAAUCCCGUAUCUGAUUCAAUGGGAGCUCCUCUUCCUAUUCUAUCUAAGUCCGAUGAUUCUCCUCAGCUCCUGGUCAUCUCAUUGGUGGGUAGUCUAACCGGUUAAGAGAGGUUGGACUCUUCGCAAAUGCUCAAAGAAGGCAGGCCGGGGGCCAAGCAACUGGACAAGUCACUACUAGACAAGAAAGCCAGUACUCUCUUGAUCUUCGGCCUCACUGAACCUUCUCAAAGACUCCUUUUGCACUGAGACUCCGCACUCUAUGGGUCAAAUAGCACUAGACAUCUUUUUCACUAUCACCGGCACCGGGACGAGACUCGGGUGGGUAUAAUGAAUUCUACUUAAUUCGAGUUGACUUUACAAGCACAGCUCAUUCAGGAGUAUAGUUCACUUUACAAGCACAGCUCAUUCAGGAGUAUAGUUCACUUUACAAGCACAGCUCAUUCUUGAGUCGACAACACUUGAAACCAUACUUAUACUAUAAGUAGUUACAGCCUUAUACACAAGCACUCGCGAACCGCUAACAAGAGCUUAAGAGGGAUAUUCUGCCACGACCUCUAUUUGCAUAACCUAUUCUUCAAAACAGCCGAGACACAGAGAAGGAAUCAGGCUAUACUGCUCAUAAACCCCUAAAAAAGCACUCAUUAGAAAGGGGAAUUCCGCAGAUAGGUAAUAAUGAGCUCCAAUAUAUGAGCUUACUAACUCUUUGUUGCACUACUAAGGAACUGAAAGAAAGGCCUCCUAGACCACUGAAGGAGCAGUAGACGCGGGAGAACCUCUCGUAGCGUAGCCAGUGAUCUCAUGCCCACGUAGCGAUUCAGUCUCAAGUGAGCAGCAAUGAAGUGAAUCCUUAGCUACUUGGAUCCGUUUGUCGACAAGAUCAUAGGUUGGUGCUUAGCUUGCUCCUGCGCUACAAUAUUGGACUGUUUGAUUCGGUGCUUAGGGAGUUGACCUGGCAGCGAUAGAUUCCAUUGAUGUUUGAGUUGAUUUGCCAGUUCACCUUUUGAAUUGAAGAAUAUACAUUCAUAUAGAUAGGUUCAUAUAGAAUGAAGUAAGAGGAGAGUAGACUCCAAAUGAAAGGGAAGCUGCAAGCGAAGCGGGAACGGGAAGGAAAGUGGAGUCUCGUAUGGAAACAGUCAAUAUUGACUCAGUGGCUAAAGGGAUAGUUAAGGGAUGCUGUGUUGAGUAUAGAUUAUGGUAAGAUUACAAACUUAUACACAUACUACGUGAAGCGGUUAAUAAGAAAUGACAUUCUUUCACUAGAAUAGGAGAAUAAGAAGGAUCAAAAAGGCAGGGAAAGCUUUGUCAAGAACAGAAUCAGCAGCAACCACUAAGUCAGCAGCAAUCCAUUCUUCAAGUGUUUGUCGAAAGCCCUUGUGCGCCGAGUAAAUAAUCGGAAAUCCUGGAUUUUGAUUCAUAUCAAAUAUACUAUUAACAGUUAUACCUAAACUCUUUAUAGUAGUUUCCUUAUAGAUUUUCUCUCUUACUUACUAAGAUAGUCGCCGGAGGAAUUGAAUGCUAUAGAUCGUACCCUCUUCCUCUUGCUAUAGACCAAUACUGACUUCAUACUUAUAGAUCGCUAGAUCAUACCUUAUACUUACACGGAUAUUCUGACUUGUCUUAUUUCUUGGAAUGCGCGUAGAGGCGAGGUAAAGUACUUGCUUUUAUGCCCUAUUAGUGGAAUCACGUAUAGAAAGAAGUCAUUACUGAAGAAGAGGUUCAGAUAUUCUGGUUUAGGCGGCCAUCAAGAUGUUAGGAAGAAAAGAAUGAGAAGCGCCAUGAGGCGUAUUCAAUGAAGGAUUGUGCGGGCAAGUGAAAGAAGUUAUCCUCUCUCUACCCUAGCUUUUGUUGGUAACUCCACUUAUAGUACUGCUGUAGCUCUAAGUAAGCCAGACCUUAUCCUGAGUCCCUAGUUGCAUCUGUGUUUGCUACUCUUGAAGCGGAGGUGAAGUUGUCAGCGGAGGAAACUGACUGUGCAGGCUUCGUCGCCACCGGGUAGUCAACUCUAGUAGUGAGUGACUGGAUCGAUCUCUUUUGCCUCUAGUGAAUGACUGGAUCGAUCUCUUUUGCCUCUAGUGAGUGACUGGAUCUAUCUCUGUCUUUUGCCUCUGAUACUGAUCUCAGGUAAGCCAACUACUGAUCUCUGGUAAGCCAACUACUCUAAGUAUAUAGUCAUUGAUUGAAUUGACAUCUGGAUCUGGCUCUUUUCACUCAUUAGUUCUGCUCUCGGUAACAACCAGAAUAGCCUGUUCUUGUUGGAAUCCGUUCUCCUAUAAGAAGAGAAAGAAUCGGUGCUAUAUCUUCUUUGACUUUCUGGGCGAGAAGGAGUAAUGUUUUAGCUUACUUUAUGAUCGAAGCAAUAAGAUAGGGAGUCUUGCAUAGCAGGCCGGUCAUUAUAUAGGUCAUUGACUUUCCCGAGUGUAUGAGUUAGGGUUGCGUGCUUGGAAUUGAACCUUAGUGUGGCGUAGAGAGAAUCAGUGGUAACAGUUCCAAAGUAAGCGAUAAGUGUAGUUCGAACAUAAGAUGGAGCUGGUGAGGAAGCUGUGCUUGCCUACAGUUGCACCACUUACUAAAAGUCAGUCAGUAAGUAUUACCCAUAUUCCGCAUUUAGUAUAUAACACAUAUUACCAAUCUUCUGCAAUUAGGCUUAGGAGACCUAUGACCCAUACUCAUUGCCAACACUGGAACGUACCUUUGAACACCCCUUGUUGUUUCUGAAAUUGGUUAUAGCUUGUUGGUGGGUUCAGUUACCAAUGCUUUAGUGUCAUUAUUAGUCAUAGUGGUUUCAUUCUUUCUUUGAUGCACUGAAUUGCCUUACUGAGUUAGGGGAAAUACCAUUGAAUCUUUGAGAACAAGAGUUUCCUCUUUUCGAACAAUAGUAAUAGGAGCGGAGAAGUCAACUAAUUCGGAUUUCUUACUACCCAAGGUGUUAGUAGCAGUUAGGGAGUGUAGAAUUCCCUGGAAAGCCGGGUUCUCAGUCAACAACUAUUAGUAAACAAAUACAUAUGAAACAGGCAAGGAAGCACUAACUGAGUGAAAAGAGGCUGCCCUUUCUUUUUGACUAUGAAUUGGAAGAAGAAUAAUUGGAAGAAGAAAGUCAGCGCGGAGGGAAUCUAUUCUUCAAGUAGAUUGAAUCUGUAGAGUCAAUUCUUACUUAUUUCAAAGAAGAAGGAUAAGUUGAAAGAUCCGUUUCAUAAUAGAGUACUGGGUUGGAUGCCCUAACACGAGUUUCGGUUGAGAAGGACUCAAAAGCACUCAAUACACUUCCAGAAAGAUGGUAUUCCAGAAAGUAAGGUAUUCCAGCCUAAAACUAUCAAUAUGGGUUUACUGUUAUCAAUAUGGGUUGUGGUAGUAUAAUAGGGCCCAACUGAUGGAGUUGUAAGAGUGUUGUCUCGGUAUCUAGAAUCUUAAAUAAGGAGUUUCGGUCGGGGCAGACAAUAAGAAUCCAAUGGGAUGCAGAAAGCACUGGCAAGGAAGCUCCCGUUAGCACAAGGGCACAAGGGAGAUGAAAUGGAAAUGAAUGAGUUGCACCCGGCGUACCGGAGAGUGAAAACAGUUAAGAUUAAUGGCAAAAAUGCUUAAGAAGUACCAUUUCUUUGUUUAAAUAAAGGAGAUAUAGAUUUCCCCAUAAGAGUAGAAAAGAGCUGCCCUACCGCCAUGAACAAAGGAACAAAAUACAAGUAAAAAAGGGAACUCGUGAUUCCUAGGUCCACUUCAUAUGAGAUAGGUGCAUCUUCAUAGCUUCAAUCUUUGACUGGAAGUAAGCUGGCUGCUUAUUGGCCACGCCUCCUUGCUUAUAUAUAUAUGACUUUACUCGGCCCAAGAUAAUAAGAUCUCCUACUUAUAUAUAUAAUAUAUAGCUCCAUACUAUUCUACCUUGCCAGCUGUUCCAUUCAAUGCAAGACUUAGUGCUUGCUAUGGGUAAGGUAGUUUCUUAGAGUUUACAGAACAAGCAGGUCUGGAAAGGGAAGCUACGUAUUCAAGGUAAGUUACAGAAGUAGAAUAGAAUGCCUUGACCCCAUUGCGCUUAAGACUAAAGUAGGUUCAGCAAUCAUAUUCUGCACUAAAAGUUGAUAGCUUAAAGUAGUCUUUUUCAGGUCGACAAGCCUUAGCCUACUGUUUUCCUUCCUCUGCGCUAAGAUAAGUUGUUGUUUAAAGUAGAGUGAUCGUUGAAUCCGUGUUUGGAAGCUCAUCUCUUUUGCCCACUAAACUAUGCGGUUAAGCAGUGAAGUGUCCAUCUUUUUUCUUGUGUUGUCUCCGAUAUAAGCCGAAUGCAAGUAAUGGGAGCUUUGUUACUUACUGCUUUCUAUAGGUGGAACCAAAUCCUUAUUGGUUGUUACCUGAGAGCUAACAGUAUUGAGUUUAUCCCUGAGGAGCUAACAGUAUUGAGUUUAUACCCGAGAGUCCGUAGUGAGCGGUUAAGAAAAAGUGGAGUUCUUGUGUCAUUGUACGCGAGAUCAGAAGCAAGAGUAAGGAUCCGUUCAAUAAAAAAGUAAGAGCGCAAAGUCGACCAAAGAAUCAGCUCCGUUCUUGGGGUUUGACAUACAGCCUUUCAAGAGUGGUUACGGUAAGACCUCUGGCUUUCCUUUCACUGUAGCAUGAUCCGACUCUGUUAUGGCAAGUGAAAGCGUAAGCAGCAAAUACCUUCUGUGAUUUCUACUAUAAGUGGUUAAUGAAACUUUAUUAAUUGCCAUAGGAUGAUUAUACCGAUAGCCAACUCCCCUUCUUCCCUUUUAUAUAUUUGAUCGAUUUAUUCUCGAACUAAGACUAACGCCUUUUAUAGACUUUCAAACUUCCCAAAAUGAACGAGAAAUCUAAAGUUAUUGAUUGAAAAACACUGAGAUGGAGAGGAAAGAGAAACAAUGUAAGAGAGAGAGAGAGAGAUAUACAAUAUCAGAAAACUCCACACCGCAAUCCAAGGUGCUUGAGGGUAAGGGGGGAACAACUAUCUAUGCGUCCCUUCUGCUUCUGUUAAAGAAUCGAUGCCUAUUGUCAUCAAUAGAAAAAUAUAGAGAAAGAGAAAGAGAAGUGAGCGCAUCAAAAGGAAAGAGAAAAAGCGUUAGCGAGGUUGUAGCCGAGUGUUGUCUACUCAAUUGGGUGGGCGCUUGUCUGCUUGUUGAGGAGUAGCUUGGCGAGUCAAUUGAUAAACGACUUAUCUGUCAACUCCCCUUAUAUAAGUACUCAGUACAGAGCAUUCCCCACUAAAUGAAUUCUGAUAUAAGUCUAUAAAUCUUUACUUACCAACUUACCACUGUUUUUCUUACGAUGACAACUCAGUACCUGGACUGCUAAUGACUAAGCUUAGGCGGCUGUAAGUAUAUUAAUAGGGCUUUCCCCUUGUAAUAGAGUUUAGGUCGGGUAUCUGAAAAGGUGUGAAAUCAGCUCUUAUUGUAAGUUCCCUUAUAGUAAGUGUGUUGGCUAAAGUCCUGUAGUGGUAAAGUUUCAUCAGUAGUAGUAAGAGGAGAGAGAGGCGAGGAAGCUAUAAGUAAAGAAGUGUGUUCGGGUGCUCGGAGACUUUACUGAUGGAUAAAGAGUACAGCUACGACUUCCCAGACUUCAACUUAUAUAAUAGCUAGAAUAGGAGCUUGUUACGAAAUAGCUAAACUUUAGUAUGAAUGCGCGGGGGAGCGAUGGUAGAAGAAAACCACAGCUUCUAAGGCGGAUAACUACAACUGGCAAGGAUCGAACUACUUAUAGAAAGAAUUGGACUCGUAAUACAGGAUAUAGGUACUGCUUCUCAUACCUUAACCACUAAUAUAGGAAACAACCGACUUAGUGGAAUAUAAGAAACAACCGACCUAUGGGAGACCGAUACUGCUCCUAGCAAGACCAAGAAACUGCCCUAACAAACAAGAGUAGAACUAGGGCUACCGAUACCUUAACUCAAAACUAAGGCUUCAAUGAUGUCCAACAACUCUUGCUUUACUCACUUACAAGCCCAUGUCUCUGCCUGUUAGUCUGCCUAUCCUGAUUUGAUUUCUAAGACCCCGGAGCCAGAUCCUCACUUGUUUGCUUUUAAACUAGCACCACUAGGAGCAAGAGCUAAACCCAUGCUAACAGGAAUCUACUCCUAUUCUGAUAGAUUGGAAACUUUACAAUGGACUAAAACUAGUGCUCCCAACAAUCAAACUCAAAACUAAGAAUACACCUACAGCAAACAAGACUUAUACCACUUACUAGUAAUUCCACUUAUAAUUUAGAAGACUUUACUGCACUAACGAAUUCAAAUAAUAAGAAAAAGCUAGUCAAAGGAAAAGUGAGAGACUUAAACACUAACUAAUGGAUUGAACUCGACAAGCAAAUACUAGGCCUUAUGCUCUUAUAAACUACUAGGCCCUAUGCUCUCAUCUUAGUCUUAUCUCUUCUAUACUGAUAUACAGAGCCAAGCCGGACUUAGUUAGCUUCAUCCUUACUAUACUGUAUCCAGCUCUGCCUUUACUGUCCCUUACACUUCUGUUACUUACCCGAGUCCCUACUCUCUAUUGUUUUAGUAUUCCUUUCCCGGCUAUAACUUUCACUUUGCAGUCUAGUAUCCUGGCUUUACAGCUUAUCUGCCUUACUAUGCUUACUUUUAUUCUACAAAACGACUAUCCCCGGGCCUCACUUUACUGCAUCUAAGGCUUUACUUAUAUUCCACAAAUAUCUCAUUCUUUGGCUCCUCGUUUUCAAGCUAAAACCAUUGCUUAUAAGCCUACCUUGAAAACUUGAUAUCUCUGCCUUUAAGUCUAGUGGUUUCUCAUUCCCCCAACCCCCUUGCUAUUGAGUUGAGAAGCCCCACUUUUUAGUUAGAGUAUGCCUAUCUUGCCUUUCACUCUUAGUUUACUGUCUUUUAUCCUUAGUAAAUGGGUGAGUAUGGUGUAUACUGAAGAACCGAACUACUGAUAACAAUAAUCGAUACCGGCUAUUAUUCUUUAACCGAUGCCUUCGAACCUUGCUUUUCAUUCUCUAGCUACUGAUUCGGAUCUCUGCUUUACUAGCCAGAAAACUAACACUCAGGCCCGUGAGCCUGUGACUACUAACAAUAAGACUGACUCCACUUCCUCUGAUACUUGAACUAGGAACUCGGACUUUGACUACUAUCAAAAGAACUUAACUCGGAACUCGGGCUUGCUUUUCCUACUUUCAUUCUAUCACUAAUUACCUCGAAGCUGACCUGAACGCCUCUGAGUCUCUCCCCGGGGCCCCGAGCUAUAACUCUUACAGUGUUAGCUUCUCCGGCCUGUCACUACUGAAUCUAAGGCUUAGCGCUAUACCUUUGAUUCUGACUACCCCGUUGCUAGCCUUGCUUCACCGCCUAUGAUCCUUACUUGAGACUUUCGACCUUGGACUCGUUCUUUCAACGCUUGUCCUGUAGCCUUACUUUCCCACCGGCGAGUGUUAACCCGGGCACCCAUUUCUUCUCAGUUCGACAUUCCUUACUUGCUUUCUUCAAUUGCGGAUUUAGAUCCUUGCUUGUUCGUUGAAGUAUUCCUAUCCUGGGUAUUGUUGUCUUAGAUAGCUAACUAUCUGACUAAUAGUGAUAUAGUAGUGAUAAGAGGAUGGCUUAUCCGGAAAUAGACUGAUACUUAUAAUAGUAAGUACCGGAAAUAGACUGAUAAUAGUAAGCAGAAGAGCUAAGUCACAGACCUAAACACAUAAGCAAGUAGGCCAACACACAAGACAGCCUCCCUUUAUUGACUCUCAAACGGAGAUUACUGCCUGCCUUGUCUUGCUUUCAACUCAUAACAAAACAAAGCACCUAGUUGCAGAAUCAAAGAAAGGUUUUAGUAAGAAAGAAUCAGAGCGAGGAAGGAAGAGGGAGACUCACUGGUAUGUGUGAAAAUAAAGGAUCUGGAUCGUUAGUUAAAGAAUAUAAGGGGAGCGAUAGGGAUUUGCAGUUAUAAAGAAUAAUUAUAGGUAGAGUUCUGAAAGAUCAGUUUGGAGGGUUAGUUCGUUAAGGUCAGUUGAGAGUGGCCGUUUAUGCCUACAACUAAAGAUGUUAGGUCAGUAGUUACAGAAAGAAAGACAGGAAUAGCAAUACUUUAGAUCGGGUUUGGUAGCCUUAGAAGAGCUUCAGUGUCAGUCUGAAUUCCGAGCCCUGCGCGUACUAGGUUGAGUUUGAUUCCCAAGUGCAAUGCUUCCUAUCAGUAGGUUUCUUCUUUUUCUCAUUAGUUCAAGUCAUUAGGCAGUGUUCGAUUCACUAUUUCUACAUUGAUUCUUUGUUUGACUCUUUUACUUGCUUUCGCCGAUCGAUCCUUUUGCUACCUAAUUAGAUUAUGCAAUCAAUGUCCUUAGUUCUAUUACUUUGUGGUUGGAUUCGAUGUAAACCUUGUUAGUAUCGGUUGAAGUCUCGGAAACAGUAGUUCCAGUAUUGCCAGCAGCGAUCCAAUUCUUAUAAGCAGCAGUGGCAGCCCUAUGCCUAUUAGCCCGGGAGCCUAUUCAAUCUUAUCUGGUAGGUAGUCAAUAGAGAAAGAGAACUUAGUACUAGUAGCAGUCCUGUUAGCGGAGUAGCUCUAGUAUGUUUUCCAGUAGUUCCGUUCAUGUGGGGGCAGUGUUCAAGUCUGUAUCGGUAUAGGGUAUUUGUCUUAGAAGCAGCAGUCAGAGUCUUCUUUUUAUGCUAAUAGGUUAGAUUCCCUACUAUAGAACCAAACAAAGCAAAGUUCUCAUUUUCAGGAUUCCCUUUGUUGGGAGCACCCCAGAUUCUUUUGUUUGAUUUUUAGGCUUACUUUUCUGCUUCUAAUACUUUAGAUAGAAACCAUUGUUAUAGGGAAGGAACCGAUCUCAGUUUGACCUUACUCUCUUUUCAGUCUAUACUAUUCUAGAAAUGGGAACAGGAAUGGAGCACCAAUAAGUGAGGGAAGAAAUUCCAUACCUAUAAGAAUUUAGCGCUAGGGCAUAACGGAAUGGGGCUAUCGACAAGCAACCUUUCACUACAGCUGGAAAGAGUUCCGCUCGGGAAUCAGAAAACGACUCCUCUAUUGGAAUGCCCUUAUUACUACUAUGAGAAUUGUGGACUGUGUUGAGGUGACAGGACCAUAGCUUAGAGACAAGGCUUUCAUUACCACUAAUAAGGCCGCUGAUGAGACUGUUUCUAUACAAGAUAUUAGCCGGCUCCUGCCUCUUUGAAAACCCUAGCUCGGAACUCGGAGGCUAACUCACUUGGUUUAGUAUGCCCUUCCCUUCUCUUAGUACGGAUCGGAUCGCGCUAGUGCCUAUUCUCCUGGUUGAGUCUACCUUUCCUUACAAACAUUCUAUCAUAUGAGAUUUUCUACUUGUUCAAGGAUUCUCUUAUUUCUGUAUUUGCUUGUUGAAACAUUAUCUUAUAUUAUCUUAAUCUUAUAUUAUCUUAAUAAGGGUAGUUUCUAUUCUUAGAGGUAGUAAAGCAAGCCAGUAGUUAGUGUUCCAUCUUUAUUAGUUGCAGUUCGACUCUUGCUAGCAGUGAUCUCAUUCUGUAUGGGAGGUUUUAUUGCUUGUAAGUAAGAUUGGAUUCCGUUAGGGGCAGGCUUCCUAGUCAACAUCAUAAGCAAGAUGCUAGAUCAGAGGACAGUAAUGUAAUACUAAACUAACGAGUAACGGUCGGUUGAUUUCUGUUAUUCAAAUAGAAUGACCUCGUUUAGGCACUUAGGGCAUCUGACUUUAGAGAUGACUUCUGACUUUUCCUAUAUUAUGGAGCAUCUGUUAAAGAUGAAAAGAGAAUCAUGGAACUAGUACAUAAGGUAUUAAUUCAAGCACCGAUAGAAACUCCGGCCAUAAUCAAGCUUCGACGAGAGCAAAAGGUUUUCUCUCAUAAGAUAACGUGGAUGUCAAGGAUUAGGACUGGUCUGACACUGACAGCAAUCGAAGGGCAGGGAACUGAACCAUACUUAGCCACUUCCCAUCUAUCUUAAUGAAUAAUUCAGAAUCCCCGGGUGAACCAGCAUUCGCAAGCGAACAACAAAAAAGUCCACCUGUGCUCAUAGAGGGGAGAGACUUUUAGAGACCGAGCCAAUAACUCGGGCCCCUCUAAUAGAAGUGGAAUCCUUGGCUUAGGCUUAUGCAGCCGCUUUCUUUGCCUUACAUCUUACAACUUUACGGUAGCCAGCUAUAUGGAUUUCCAAAGUGUUCUUUUACAUUGUUUUCUCAUCACGGAAUCCAAUUCUCUGCCCCACGGGAGUAGUUCUCGGACUUACCCUUAAGGAAUACGAAAACAACUUCCUUUUUCACCUUCCCAUCAUGGGUCUUCCCAAUCCCACAAACUAGGCGCGGGUAGGUUCGCUUAUUCUUGUUUUGAAAUGCGUAAACUCCAACCACCUUACUUUAUACUUGACUAAGCGCUUUAAGUGCAGUAAAUAAUCAUCUUAUCCCGUCCAUUCAUUGCAGGAGGAGUGAAAAGAGGGAACCCCUUGAGCGUAGGUAAUUCCAGCAUUUGAGCAUAUUUGGAAGAAGAAUAGAUCCGGUACUUUUCGUACUCCCUCUGGUAAGCAAUCGUGAGUGAAACCUAAGGAUUGGACUAAGCACUCUUUUAAGGUAAGGUAACAUAGUGGAUUGUUGCGCUAACCGAGUUCCUUCGUUUUGCACAAGUAAGUAAGUGCCUGCACCUUCAAGGAACUGAACCUACGACUUAGACCACACACUUAAGUAUAGUAUCCAUGAGCUUAGGAGCAAGAAGAGGCUCAAGAAUCAAAAACAUGUAUGAAUAUUGUUUCUCGGGGCGCCUCAAUUCUAUGAUUUGAAACUCUAGCAAGGCCUAAAUUCCAUGAUUGGAUUUUGCCGACCCCGACUUGAAUUGCUGCUUCCUUUCGCCUUAACCUCAGCAUGAGAUUCGAGAGAGAAAAGAUCAGAUUCGGCUGAGGCUUCUUAUUCUAUAUAGUAUUCCAGUAAAACACCCUAACUAGACUUUCCGGGUUCGUCAAGAAUUCACCGUGCUGUAGCAAUGAAAACUGGAAUGGAAUCUCUCGCUGUUAGGUCAACUCUAAACUCCCUUAGCGCCAGAAACAGUCAAUUCUUCUGCUUACUUGAUAACUCUAAACUCUUAUAUUUGAGAAUCAUUUCAAUCAAUCAAUCUUACCUAGGCGGGGGGACAAGAAUCAUUCUGGAUCUGAAUUUCCUGCUUCAUCUACUGAUCUGGUUUACUUAAAAGAACGUAACCAUUCUUUCGAACAGAACUCCUUGAUAUUGCUGGAUCUGCCCUGAACCCUGACUUUUCCUUCGCCUAAGUUUGACCAGUGGGGCAGGCCUAGACUUGAAGUACAGUACGGACUUCUUGUCCCGGAGAAGGAAAGGUGCUAAGAGCCUGAUUGUCCCGACGAUAACACUCCCCUUUUUGAACCUCUCUUCUCUAUACGACAAGGAGCUAGAGCACUAACCUAUCUCUACUCGGGAAAGCAGAAACAGUACCUUUGACCUCAGACAUUCAUCUAAAGACUCUUGACUCUUAUACUUAUGUACCAAUACUUACUUCAGAUUUCUCGGUGUUGGGCAGAGAGUCACGCAGGGCGAAAAAGGAAAAGUGUUUCACUCCAGCCACAAUAACGGAACUUCCCGCUUCUUAUUCAUAUUCUUUCUUAUUACUUCCUCACCUGGAACUUGAACUGGCAAUUCUCAACUGUCAACAGGAACUGGCACCACUGAGAGUUUCAUCCGUUCUCCUAUAAUAUAAUAUAAUCGAAAUGGAAAGGGUUUUCUUAUACUUAGUGUCUACUGAGUCGGUAUUGCUACUGUUGCUAAGGAGUCAAAUAAAGACUUGUUGCUACUAUAUGCCUACUGUUGCUGCUGCUAAAGAAAUAUUGCUAAUGUUGCUAUAGCUACUACUUAUUGCUUUACUGCGACUGUUGCUAAGGCUUAUUAUACUUAUUGCUACUUUCGAGUCGAGCACAUCGAAUCUUUUUGCUCCUCCAACUCUUUCUUGCUUCGGUAUCAAAGCCAGUCCUGUGCCCUAAAUUCAUGUCCCUCUUGCUAAUUCUUAUGUUUCUUAUCUGUCAACUGCCUCUGAGAAUGCCUCCACAGCCUCUGCUUGAGUUGUAGCUUGGCCUCUAUUCUUUUGGUAGGCGAGAAGGAUCACUAGCACUACUUAUAUGACUAGCUUUAGCUCUUUAUCUCAAGUAUUCAAGUGUGAAUUGAACUCACUGGAGCAAGAAACCCCGUACUUUGACCUUAAGAAUGGAAUUGAAAGACAUAGCUCGGAAAGGUACUCUCAAUCUUGGUUUACAGCCCUUUGCCCUGGUAUCCUCUAGCUUUAGUAGCAUGUGUGAGUUAAGUGGGUAAUAUGCUUGUGAUUCUGAAAAGCAAUGUUACGAUGAGUUAACCCGACACGGGUUUUGGUGAAUGAGCAUAAGUGGAAGUCGAGGAGAGGAAGUAUUUGUUUACCCAGGAAAAGAGGUCGGCCAAGUAGGAAAAUGAGAAUGAAAGUAAGUGACUUGGCUCGUUGCUUGGCCACUCCCUAAUAGUUGAGAUUCCUCUUUGGGCUGUUAUUUGUCUCGGGGUGCCCAGGUAUCGUCUCCACCGUAAGCCUUUCCUUAGCCAUAGAUAAUAUGUUCCACUCAUGUAAGCCAACUAGAAACAAACCAUAUUACACACAGGAGCAAGUCAUCACAUCAAGUGAAAGGACUGGGCGCUGAAGAACCCUAUAAUCCAACUAAGCACAGACCAAUCUGUUGACGUUACCAACAAGAGUAUAUUAAUUAGUUCCACAAACUCCAAUAAACGUGAGCACCAUGAAACAAUAAUCCGUUUGCUUCCUUCUAGCCCUUGCUUAAAGAUACAGUACCUCACUUGCGGAUCUGCUUUAUGGUGGAAUUGCAUUUCCGAAUCUAUCUUCUAAUUACCCACUUAGAUAAAAAACACUAGCUUAACGGCCACUGUAUUCAGUAAAGUGAAACAGUCAAAUGAGUCAUGAAGAUUGCUUGGUCUAUCUAUCUCACCUAAAAUUCACCGUGCUGUAAAAAAGGUAGGCACUGUGAUGGGAUUUGUUAUUAGCAUAGUGGACCAAGGUUUGAAACGCGGCAAAGGUCUCUGUGUUAGGAGUGCAAAGGUGUUGAUGCAGCUGCAAGAACUAGUCCAGUUGCGGCGUCUUCAAGUGAAGUGGAAGUAGGUGAUUAUGAUGCUUGUAUCUAAGGCUUACGCUCGGUCAGUUCCAGUUCUGGUUUGAGUUUCAUCCGUUACAUAAGCCGAAUACAGAUCGGAAGAAAGAUCUUCAUCAGCUGCCCUUAAGUAAUUGGUUGACCUGACAGCAAGAGAUUCAAUGACUGGUUGACUUGCGAGUCAGGGCAAAGCGUAUACUAGUCAGAGGCUGGAGCCAUGUAUAGUAAGGAAGUAGAGUUCAGUUCGCCUAGUGCGAGGCUUAGUGCUUUUGUUGUCAAGAGAAUCUCCGUCCUUUCUUCGUAAGCGGUAGGAGCCAGUGUGGUCUCUGAGUCCUGUGUUCAUGCCGCUGACCCUAAACCACGAAAAAAGGGCUCAUUCCCUCGUAUAUCUCAUGUAGCUCGCAUAGCCAAAGUAGUCACUAAACAAAGGCCUUGAUUUAGUUUGCACCCAGUACCACGAAACUCUAAUCAGAGCAAUCUUACUAAGUUCAAACUUCCCUACAUCAAAAGCUGUCUCGCGGGGAGACUUUGUAUUGAUUGAUACUAGUUCUACCCCAAGCCAAAUCACUUUACAAGAAAAGGCUAUGAGAUCAGCUCCGCUCUAAUAGACACUUAGCUUUGCAAAUAACACUAAGGCGGGAUGGGAUGGAUUGCAGCUGGGUUGAUAAGCCGGGAUUCAAUAUAGAGUUCAUGCCGAAGGGUCAAAUUACGACAAGAAGAGUUCCAUAGCCUGCUAAAAAAAGAAAGCACGCCGCUACGCUACUCUACCUUUAAGAGAGACUUGUUAUAGGGUGGCUGGCAGUCAUACGCUCCGUUUUUCCAGUUAGUGGCGGCCGAUUCCUAGUGUUACAUGGAUCUUCCUUGUAUCUCAGCGGUUGCGUAUAUAUAAGAUGGAGCCUAAACCUUGGUGUGCAUGAUGAAGUAAUCUCUUCCUCUAAUCACGAGGCCACAUGGACUGUACCCGGGAUUGAUUGAUUCCCGUUAUAUGCAUUGGUUGCUGCGCUGCUAACUACCGACCCCGAAAUGGAAUAUAGAAAGAGAAAUGAUUCGUCUUGCUUAUUUGCUUUAUCAUUGAAUUGAGUGCGAUGCGUGGUAAGACUGAACCUCCCAUUGCUCUAUCUCCGAUAGCAUGCAGUCGAUAAUGAAAAUAGAUAGAUAGAUAUAUAUAAAGUGUGCUGCGAGAGAUCUCUCUAGGUAACCAGUCUUUACUUCACUAGGUAACCAGUCUUUACUUCACUCUUUAUCCUCGGCGAAUCGACACUCUUUUAACAAGCAAGGAAUCUGAAUUAUAUCUGACGAGUCUCUAAGCAAUAUAGGUUUGGAAAAGCCAGCGCCCAAAGGAUUGAAGCCGGUCAAUGUCUGGUAGAGUAGGAACCUAUAGCUUACGGAAAAAGGCCUCGUUUGCUCAGAAAGUCCGCUGUCUUCCUUAUCCUGAAUCAAAUGGGCUUAACUAGAAAAGAUGGAUUGCCUGGAUCAAGAAAGCUCUUCCCAUAGUGCCUUAGGCCGGUCCCGGAGGCUAAGAUCGACUCUGCUUCUGAGAGCCUUAUUUAUUAUUCAUUGAGUCGCCAAGUCGGUAGCCUUUUCUUCCACUCUUGGGAUAAGGGGGCAGAUGGAAUUUAUACUCUUUCCCGAUCGGAGUCCAGACGUCUUUGUUGUCGUAUAGAAAGUAAUAAGCUUCAAUAAGAGUCGAGUUAACCUUCCUCACUCUCAAGUCCUAUUAGAUAGGCACACCCCGAUCGAAAGAGGGUAGGGUAUUCUGAAUACAGUCCAAGAGGGAUUAGAAUUAUCUACAAGGGCCAAGUCUCGAAAUGAAGAUGCAAAUGGACCACUCCUUUGACUUGUGUCUGCUUGGUCAGUUUCAAACAUUCCUACUUUCAUUAUCUCUUAUUAGGUAGGAUAACAGAUUCCACUCAGGAUUCAGCUGGGGAUGAAACUACUCAUGAAUAUAGUAAGGGUACGAUCUGCUGACUUCGAUCCGUUACUCGCUGAACUACUCCACACCUGCUCCCCACAAAACAGGACUUGAACUUGUAGAAGCACACCCGACCUAUACAUGAAGGGUGAAGACUUCUAGAUGCAGGGCAGCUCCUGUGUUGAGCAAGUCGUUAGUAGUUACUUGCCCAGUGUCUUGGCCACUAUCAAAUUCUAUCUCUUCUUAUUAAGUAAGGAUAGCGUUGAGAAAGAUCUUCUGCCGGGCCCCAGGUGUUAAGAAUACAGAUCAGGUAUCGGCUUUGUUUGAGGCUCGGGUAGUUGUUGAAGGAAGUUACUAGGCCUGCAUCUAGACUAGUGGAAUACCGAGUAGCAAGAGUAGCGAGAGGUGCGAGUGAAGUCGUACAAAAUAGGGCAGUCAAUAAUUGAACUCAGUAGCCAAACUCAGUAGCAAGAGCAAGAGGAUAGAGAUUUGCUGUUGGGGCUGAGGUAAGGUUAUACUAUAACUCGCAUUUAAGUGAAAAGAGAAAAACAACUUGCAUUUCCACUGUACACACACUGUAGACGGGAGAAGGUAGGGAAUUUGCCAUCAAACUAAAUCCGUUAUGUUAUAGUGAAAUUUCGCCUAACAUCUUUAGGGUUCCCCUCUGGAUGGUUCCUUUGCCUUAAGAGCGAGCUGGACUUGAAACUGGAUACUUCUCUUCCACUGGAACUGCUCCUGCUGAAGAUCUUGAAACUUACACUUAUUAUCUGGCUUCUGCAGCUUACUCCACGAAAGCACUCUACGAAUACAGGUUCACUCAGGAAUUUACAUAACUUUGUUAUGACGGCAGCUAGGGUAUUUCCGCAAAGCCAGUACUUUAUGAUUGGAUUUUUCCGACCUAAACAAUAAAGUGAUUAUUUCGAUAAGUCAAACAGAGUAUAGAAACUUGUAAGGACUCAGACACUCUAAAGCCACCCAAAGACAAAGACGAAAUUCAUGAAGAACUGAAAGGAGAGGUCAGGCCAGAUGUUGUGCUAAGUUGAGUUGCGCUUAAGGGUCAGUGAGUUACUGUUGUGCUAACGAAACAGUACAGUACAGGAGCAAGAGAGAUUCUAUUAAUGUUUGCGAGAGGAGCUGACUUGUGCGUAAGGAGUUUCGAGCUUGAUUACAUUCCAAAUAUAUGUAUGGUCGGGUGAGAGAGAUUAUUGGAAUUCGAAUGGCUCUUACUUGGAAAGAAGCCCUCUUUUCUUCAGCAGUAAAGUCAGCAGCAAGCGCGGGAAGUAAAGGAAAGGAGAAGGAAAAGAAAGUAGGCAAGCAACAAUAGGUUCAGAAAGAAAGUAGAGUUCGGGUCCCCGGGUGUUGGAUCUUCAACUAUAUAAGUAUAUUCAGCUGUGAGAAAGUCUGCUGCAAGUGAUAAGGAAGCUGAAAGUGCGUUGUCUACAAGAAAGGUUAUUAGGCUCUAAGUCAGUAUAGAGAGGUUCGGCGGUAAGAGAAUCCGCAUCAGCUAUGCUUAAGUCUAAAAGAGAAAGAAGCGGGAGACAGAUCUUCCACUGACCCUGCUCUGGAUCUUUAAACGGAUCUUUCCACUAUCAAAACGGACCUUUCUGACCCGAUUGCAGCUGAAGAAGUAAUUGAGGCAUAAUUCCCUGACAUAUAGAAUGUCGGCACCACGAGUUGGUUUCAUCAUUUAGGGUAGGGGACUCCUUUGAACUAAAAGCUUCUUCCUACUUAAGCGUCUUAGCCUUCAGUGCCCAGGGAUCUACCGCGAAGGUUAGAUUCCAUUAAAAGGUAGGUAAUCGAGGCCUAGACCUAUUGCAGGUGAGCCAGCCCCUAUACCGUACAUCUAUAUCAGCACCCAUCGAAAAGAAAGAGGAAGCCGCAGUGGCACAAGUGGUAGGCUUAGAUCUGUCUUUGAAGAUGCUUAUUACCUUUUGAGUUAUGUAUCAUCGGAUUCCUACUUGGAAGAAAGAGUCUUGUAGCUGAUGAAAAACUGGAUCUUGCAGGGGGUGCGAACUCGUAGCUAACGUCGUUGGUUGUCUAAAUAUCUCCCCCCAAAAACUUAAUGAAAUGGAUUUUCGCCCUUAUACAUACUUGGAAUUCCUCAUUGACUUUCUUGCAUCUGUAACUGCUGUUGAAACACAUUUGAGCCCUGUUUACCCCUUGACUGUACACACCCUUGCGCCAAGACCUGAUCUUUCUACAAUAACUAGACUUCUUCAAGAAAACUCUUUUGAAACUAAUAAGGAUCUUUCUUGUGCUGAAGCAGAAGCGGAAGAGAACUCCGUUAGCGCAGAUCAGUUCGAAACUCCCUUAGCGCAACUAAACUAGUUCAAUUCAAAAGGGAAGGAAGCCGGUAAGAAUCUAUCUCCACCCUAUUAUAUACUAUACUAUAUUAUCUUAUUCUUCUUAUGUAUAUACUAGACUAUAUUAUCUUAUUCUUCUUAUGCCUUCCAUACGAGACUCCACUUGCUUCUUUAUAUUAUAUGGUUCGGUACUCAAUAAUUUGCUGUGCUUGUAAAGUACACUAUAUCUGAUCUUUUCUCAAGCCCACGUAGGGAGAAAGUGGAAAGAUAACCGUAUCACUUAUCCAUCGGUAAAGUUGAAGACGUAGAAAUCAUCCUGUAUAGUAUGGAAUAUGAGUGCGGAUGUCGAGAAAACAUAUAUUGUAAUAAUGGGCUGUCCCCUUGCCUAUCUAUAUCUCAUAAGAAUGCACCCACACCUAGAUCUCAUAAGAAUGCACCUAAACUAAACCUAGAAACUCCCUUAGCACAUAGGUUAUACUACAGUAGGAGUCUGCUUGGAAACCAGCAGCGUUGACUUUAUCAAUAAAGAAAGUGUGCAGUCCACUCUCCUCUUUAGUUCAAU